GGAAGGAUCAUUAACACGUAUCCAAAACGUACCAACCCACCCCCUUUAUACGAACUAUUAACUCUUGUGAGUUGCUGCUUAGCUGUGGUGACUCGCUUACAUUUUCAAUCAACCCAUUCUCUGGUUUGACGAAAUACAACACUUCUUGUUUUUGUUACUCUUUUACAGGGUACGAGCAGGAUUUUACUUAUUGAACGCUGAACAACUUUUAGCAACGGAUGUCUUGGUUCUCGCAACGAUGAAGAACGCAGCGAAAUGCGAUACGUAAUGUGAAUUGCAGAAUUCAGUGAAUCAUCGAAUCUUUGAACGCAAAUUGCGCUUCGGGGUAUCCCCUGGAGCAUGCUUCUUUGAGUAUCGGUUUCUAUCUAUCUCUUUAUAUGAUUUUCGUGAUCAUAUCAAGAGAAGAGAGUGAGCGUUUCGCCUUUGUUUAUUCAAAAGGCGCAUCGCUUCAAGUGUACGGUUACGGCUCUUUGUGUGGCUGUAUGCGUUGGAAAGAUAGGGAGCCUUUGUGCUUUCUUUGCUGUUUUCGGAUAGCUAUCUUUUUCUCCUGCUUGCAGUUGCCGCCUUAGGGCGAGAGCUUGUCUGCCGACUUGCAUUUUGUUGGUUCUACAAACCAGUGACGUGCCAGUCAACAUAAGUCUUUAAAAACGACUUGUACCAAAUCUGAUCUCAAAUGAAGUAAGAGGACCCCCUGAAUUUAAGCAUAUCAUUAAGGGGAGGAAAAGAAACUAACAAGGAUUCCCCUAGUAACGGCGAGUGAAGCGGGAAGAGCUCAAGCUUAAAAUCGGUCGCUUUCGGGCGGUCGAAUUGUAGUCUAGAGAAGUGUGGUCAGCGCGUGGCCCGGACCUAAGUCCUUUGGAACAGGGCGUCAGAGAGGGUGAGAACCCCGUCUUUGGUUCGGAGACCGCCGCGUACGAUGCGCUUUCGAAGAGUCGGGUUGCUUGGGACUGCAGCCCUAAUUGGAUGGUAAAUUUCAUCUAAAGCUAAAUAUUGGCGAGAGACCGAUAGCGAACAAGUACCGUGAGGGAAAGAUGAAAAGAACUUUGAAAAGAGAGUUAAAAAAGUGCCUGAAAUUGCUAAAAGGGAAGCGAUGAAAAUCAGUCGUGUGGGCGCAGUCAAAUUCCUCCCGGCAACGGCGCCUGUUCUGGGUCAGCACCGCAAGGGCUUGGCCUGGCAGGCAAGAGUUGCCUGCAGUUUCUGAUUGCGUCCGAGUUCUAGGAUCAGUUCGGCUGCAUCGCAGAACCGCUCGAGGAAGGUAGGUUCGAUGGGGGGUUUACUCUCCUGACAACUGUUAUAGCCUCGGGUAGUGUGCGCGUGUGCUGGACUGAGGCUUCUAUUGAAGGCAAGGCGCGCCCUUUGGCGAGAUGGCGGCACCCCGGGUCGUGAGGUGGCUGGAAUGCAAUGCAUUGCUGCUGCCGUAACGGCUUGCUGGUGUUGCCCACUUUCUGCGCUUUCGCGAUCCUAGAGAAAUGGUUUUCACCGACCCGUCUUGAAACACGGACCAAGGAGUCUAACAUAUAUGCGAGUAUUUGGGUGGAAAACCCUGAUGCGUAAUGAAAGUGAAGGCAGGCGAUUUCGUUUGCUGAAGUGUGAUCCCUGUAACAAGGGUGCAACAUUGACCGAUCAGUCACUUGUGAAAGAUUUGAGUAAGAGCAUAUCUGUCGGGACCCGAAAGAUGGUGAACUAUGCCUGGACAGGGCGAAGCCAGGGGAAACUCUGGUGGAGGCUCGUAGCGAUACUGACGUGCAAAUCGUUCGUCUGAUCUGGGUAUAGGGGCGAAAGACUAAUCGAACCAUCUAGUAGCUGGUUCCCUC
rnacentral:misc_RNA from 1 species